UCACUAUGUAAGAGAGGCUGUUAUUGAGACGACUACAGAGUAUGUGCCUGGGAGCAUUUAAGUCGCCACAUACAUGCUUUUUUCUUGGUACUGGGAAGAAGAAAGAGCAACACUGUGGAAAUAAGAAGCUUUACUAUAACUAGAAAAUCCUUCAAGGAGGGCAGAGUUUAUAGAUCAACCUCCUCCAUUGCGUAUGAACACCCAGCUCCUCAGGGUCACAUCUCUAGAUGAUGGGGCAAAGAGGAUUCCAGAGGGCCAGUUAAUAGCUAUGAGCCAAUCUAUGCACCAUCCCUUCAACAACGUGAGAAUAAUCAACUUGGAUCAUAUUCAUCCAAAUAUCUUCUCCAAAGAAUACGUUUUAGCACAUUAAAUGAGGAUAUGCACAACAGUACAAGGCAAAAUGCCAUGCAGUUAAAAAUACAUUAUCUAAUGAUCCUAGAAAAUAGCAGCUAAUUAACCCACACAUCCUAUGAUACUAUGUACCACUUGUGCAGUAUUAAAAAACACUUCCUUUUGUUAUAAAACAACUGCUUGCCAAUAAUUGGGCACCCUCUUAUUUUUGCCUUAAAUGGGAGAAAGUGUUUGGACACCCUCCCCAACCAGACCAUUCAGAGGUGUGUCAAAUAACCAGAGAGAAAAUUGCUUAGCAUGAAUUAGCUAUACAUUUAACCUAUACCAGUGGUUCCCAACGUAGGGGCCGUGACCCCCAGGGGGGCUGCGAAGUAAUCAGAGGGGGCCACGAACAGUAAAGAAAUGAAUUAUUUAUUAAUUUUUUUAAAAAGGUCUUAACUCCCUGGAAUGUCUGCUUCCCACUACCACUGCAGAUGAUACCUUCCCCUUGCUCCAAAUGAGAGGGGAGGACUUUUGCUGAAGUGCCAGAGCAUCCUUCAGGCACACCAAGGGCAGGCAUCUGCCUAUAAAAUACAUGGCAGAUGCCAAAGGAGGCUGAGGGUAGAGAUGCCAGAAAAAAGAGGGGAUUACUGUCACCGACUCCUGUCUCCUUGCACCACUACUGCUGCUGAUGUCCUUACUCAGAACGAGAGAAGAGGGCUUUUUGUGAAGCAAAAAGUAGCAAGGCUGCAAGGAAAAGCUGCUUUCUCCCUUCCUUCCUGGCACCCAGCCUGCCUCCCUAGGUGAAGGGGGUCAUGAAAUUUUUUGAACUUAUAAAGGGGGUCCCGUACUCAUAUAGGAUGGAAACCACUGCCCUAUACUAUACAUUUAUACUCUUUGUAUACACAGACACAUCAGUGAACUUCCUGCGCAUACAUGGUCUUACCUAAAAAUUGCAAAGCCAGGAUGUAUUCUCUGUGUGCAUAAUGUGUCACAAUGCGUGCACAAUGAAUUGAGAAGUCUUUGUUGGUAGUGGAGCUCCAUUUGUUUGUUGAACCUCCCACAUUUGUAUCUCCUACUUGUAUGGACUAUAGGGAAUAGGGAUGGAAUGUACCUUCUUCACAAGCUCCAGUUGGCCAUGGUACUCAAGCUUGCAAGAAGCAAUUCUUCCAGCAUAAAAUUAGAUAGAAGAGGCUGUCAGAAUUGCCACAUAAUUAAGAAUUAGGAGUUAUUGUGAUCUUUUAUCUAUAUGAUUGGGCACCAUAUAGGCUCCGAUCUUAUUUUUGCUAAAUAAAAGACAGAGAGCAAAUUCAGUCAUGUACAAUCAGUAGUAUUCAUUUUUCUUCAUCUCCCUUGCUCUCCCUGUCAUCUCCAGGUCCAUGCUGUACUACAACAGACAUCCCCAGGAGCCAAUCAGCAUGAAAGGGGAGUGUAUUAGCUACUACGAAGAGUCUUCUCAGUGGCUGACUCACCUCCUUUCACUCUGAUUGGCUCUAAUCGGCACAAAAGGGCUAGGACUCUUAUCAGUAGUGAACAUGCUCCCCUUUCAUAUUAAUUGGCUGAUACAUAGGGAUCUGCCUGGGGCCCUGCUCCCAAAAAAGUAAACAGUCUAUGAUCAUCCCACAACCCUGGACAACUAAACCCCUAUGUACAAUUAUUGCCAUAUUAUAUUGCUGGGAAUAUCGCUGCACCCUUAUAACAUAUGGCCCAUUCCACAAACCAGUUCAGCUAAAGUCCUUGCAUUUAUUAUAAUGUUGUCUAACUGAAACCAGUAGAGUUGAAGUGGCUCAGAUCCAAAUUCUCCAUCCUAAAGUGUUUGGGGAUAGCAGCCAUACACCGCUAUAUAAUUUAGUUCAUGACAAGCUUUUCCCUAGAUACCAUGACUUCAUCCAUCCAGUUAUGUUACUUGUCAAAUGAUAACGCUUUAAUUAGCUGUUGAACUUUGGUAUCCCCUGCACACACUUCCCAACCCAAACGUUCACAUUAUCUGUACAAAAGUGCUACAUGAUAUCCUUGUUGUUUCAGGAGAAUAUGGUUGCUAUUCACUGAUUACGCCACACUACUGAAGAUAAGAAUUCUAAACUCCUGACACUCCAUUCCAAAAUCAGAAAGCAUGCACAGGCAACAAAACCUGCCUCUCUUGGAGUCAAAACAUAAUAAACCCAUUUACUACUGCUAACUUUUAUUUUAUAAAAUAGCUGAAUAUUUUAUGAUAUAAAGCACAUUACUAAUUUCACAGUCUAAACAUAAUUGUUUCCCUAUAAGUUUUACAUGAUCAUUACUUGGUUUGCAAAACGCUUGAGUAUAAAGCUAGACCAGCUAUAUAAUGCUAUUACGCAAACAU